ensembl:snRNA U6 U6 spliceosomal RNA
GUGCUUGCUUCGGCAGCACGUAGACUUAAAUUGAAUUACACAGAGAAGAUUAGCACGGCCCCUGCACGAGGAUGACACAGAAAUUCAUGAAGCAUUCACUAUUUUU